AACGGCCGUACCAUGCUGAAUAUACCGGUUCUCGUUAGAUCACCGAAGUCAAGCAUCAUUGGGCGCGGUCAGUACUUCGAUGGGUGACCACCUGGGAACACUGCGUGCCGUU
rnacentral:rRNA from 1 species